UUGAUUUGGCUGUGCCUUCCAUUGCCGAUUUGGAUUGAGAGCUGGACCAUUAUCUUUGGCUUAUGGGAACGUUAGCUAUUGCUAGCGUUAGCCUUUUGUUGACACAGUACGUGUUUACCUGUAAGGUUAAUAGUCACGUAGUUGCGAUAAGUGGUUGUGUUCUAACAGUAGGGUAAAGUGAUACGACGUUCGUGUGCUGCCUGCUGUCUAAUCUCUGAGUUCCCCAUUGCUUUAGUGAUCUCAAGAUAAAAUGACAUUUUGGAACAUUGGGAAAUGAUUUCGUUUAGAAGGCUUUUCCUGCAUCUUGUUUAACUGCCGGUAAAGUGUUGAUGCAAAAAUGUUCGUGCAACAACGAACUUCAUACUGCAAUCGGGAAAUUGACGAUACCUCCGGCGCCAUUCUGUCCUUUCAGCUGGAGCAUUCCACUAUCUUGCGUUGUUUGAUUAUCGCAACAGGUGGAACCUGUCGUGCCACCGUUAUAAGACCAAGACCAAACGCCCUGCCAAAACAUCGGCAAUAAACAUCAAAAGUUGGACUGGUUUCGGGACCGCCACAAACAGUGGCAAAUUCACCAAUCACCAAAGGCUUAUCCAAUCCGUAGGAUGCGGCUGUAACCUUGUACUUUGAAUGGUUCGCUGGGGUCCCAUUGUCCGUUGUACGUGUAAGUGUGAAAUUGGUAAAAAUCUAAUGUGCCUAAAUUUCUACCACCUGCAGCUAGGAGACAUUCGUCUGUGUAGUAAUUUCCUGUUGAGAUGGGAUUAAUUACAAAAUUAAAAAACUCAAAUUUUCAAUCACAUAACGUCAAUUUAACUGGAUUGUUCGUAUGCGUCAGACUGGGCGUGUUCCGACCAAGAGCCUAAGGUAACGAGCGAUGCGGGAUUAGUUUCCUUGAUGGCGUGCGUUUGCCAGUUGACGAACUUCAAAUUACUUCAAGUUAAUUUCAAGUUAAUUUAUUUUCCUUUCAUUUAUUUAAUUGAUUCUAAAUGUACUUUUCCAUAGGGAUGGUGAGGCCUGUCCAACUGGCGUCCGUAUUCGCAAGUGGAGUCGUAUCGAAACAUGGAUUGUCAUUCACCUGGUUAAGUAAAAUGGCUCCUUCCGGCUCGUUCAUAAUUUCCCAAGCAGCGAGUGCAGGAUGAUCUCCCAAAGCUGCAACCAUCGGCUAUCAAAGAUAAUUUGACGUUAAAAUCCGAAAAAGUUCGUUUUUUUUUUUUUUUAGGUUAGCACCUUGAGAGCGUUGUCGAUGUAACUCUGCAGUUUGGCAUCGUCGUAAAACAGGUUGAUCGUGUUCUGAUUUUCCAGGACUGCGCCGUUCCACAAAACGAAGAUGACGAGAAUAUUUUUACUUUGCGCAAAAUCCAGGAAGGAUCGCAUAUCGUCGAUGAUUGUGCCCGUACUGUCGGGACUGGUCACGUAUCCAUUGCUGUCGUAGGUUGGAGUGUUUUGUCCUUCUACAUGUACCCAUUGCCCUGUCGUAUCCCACGUUAGUGUCGUAAAGGAUUUAUUGAGGCCGUUUCCGAAGUCGUAGCCGUACGAAUACCAAGCGAUGUUGGCUCCAGACAGGAAUACUUUCUGGCCAUUGUAAAGGAAAUCACGACCACUCGUCGUCAAUCGGCCGACGCCCAACGUCACGCAAAUACCCAGGAACAAGACGGACAGCCUCAGCAUUUUAAAAAAAAUCAUGGGAGAAAUCCCGUGAAUGAAACCAACGUGAACAGUUGAUGGACACUGAAUGAUUAUGACGGGAAAAAAUGAGUUCAAUGCGUGACACUGUUUACCAUAUGAAAAUAAAUUCACGCCAUAUAUAAACAAAAAUACAUUAUCGAUAUUGA
rnacentral:lncRNA from 1 species